rnacentral:misc_RNA from 1 species
GUGAAUCAUCGAAUUUUUGAACGCAAAUUGCACUCUCUGGUAUUCCGGAGAGUAUGCCUGUUUGAGGGUCAGUUAAAUAAAAAUCGGUGUUUUGUUGCCGCUUUCCGUAGUGACGCAUCGGGGUUGGGUCGUCUUACCUUCGGUUAAGUGACCUAACAUCUUGCAUGAUUUUUUCGAACGUAUUGAAAUGAUUUUACGUACGUGUGCGAUAUCGAAUACUAGGUGCGGUAAUCCUCAUUAACCGCGCCUCUCAUUUC